GAACGCUACCUCAGCUGUUCUAUGUACUCCGACUGGAAGAUGAUGUCACAAACAUCAACUGGGUGUACUCUCAUUGGCUUCUGUUACCUGGAAUCAUAUCUUAACCCUAAACUGUCAGCUGCAAAUUGAAAUGCUCAUCUCUGGCUAUAAUUUUGGCUGAAAGGGGAAUGAAAGUGAUGUUGAGCUCCUGGAGGACACUGUGGACACAUAAUGUGGAUUAAUGACCUUCGACUGGAUCUCGGUAGAUCAUUGUGCAGAAGCUCAUCACUCAACUUAAUCCACGAACUCGCCAAAGGUCAAUGGUGACUACAAAGUCUAUAGGAACCUUCUGCUUUGUCAUGAUGGGACCACUCCCAACCACCUUAUCAUUGUCAAACUCAUCUCUGAUUCUUCAGCAUCGUGAGGCCACCACGCUUUAUUUGGAAUCUACCUUUCUGUCCCAUAAUCAAGAAAGUUUCUCCAGGAAGAAAACAGACACAAUUUUCUGUAAAGAUACAGUAUAUCACUAUAUGGAAUUCAAAGCAUGUUCAACACUUUGUGCUAAGGCAUUGCUGCUUCAAAAUGUUUACAAUUUGAUCCUGUCUGAACCCAUUGAAUCUACUGCAACCAAAACUACAUUUGCACUAAACUCUAUGGCUGAAUCAAAGAGAGAGAGACAGAGUGUGAGCAGGGGAGGAGCAGAGAGAGAGGGAGACACAGAAUUCGAA